GCAGUCGAACGAGUGUCUGAUGUAUUGAAAGGUGCUUGCAUCUUGAUUUAGAUUUUGAACGAGUGGCGGACGGGUGAGUAACACGUGGGUAACCUGCCCUUAAGUGGGGGAUAACAUUUGGAAACAGAUGCUAAUACCGCAUAAAUCCAAGAACCGCAUGGUUCUUGGCUGAAAGAUGGCGUAAGCUAUCGCUUUUGGAUGGACCCGCGGCGUAUUAGCUAGUUGGUGAGGUAACGGCUCACCAAGGCAAUGAUACGUAGCCGAACUGAGAGGUUGAUCGGCCACAUUGGGACUGAGACACGGCCCAAACUCCUACGGGAGGCAGCAGUAGGGAAUCUUCCACAAUGGACGCAAGUCUGAUGGAGCAACGCCGCGUGAGUGAAGAAGGCUUUCGGGUCGUAAAACUCUGUUGUUGGAGAAGAAUGGUCGGCAGAGUAACUGUUGUCGGCGUGACGGUAUCCAACCAGAAAGCCACGGCUAACUACGUGCCAGCAGCCGCGGUAAUACGUAGGUGGCAAGCGUUAUCCGGAUUUAUUGGGCGUAAAGCGAGCGCAGGCGGUUUUUUAAGUCUGAUGUGAAAGCCCUCGGCUUAACCGAGGAAGUGCAUCGGAAACUGGGAAACUUGAGUGCAGAAGAGGACAGUGGAACUCCAUGUGUAGCGGUGAAAUGCGUAGAUAUAUGGAAGAACACCAGUGGCGAAGGCGGCUGUCUGGUCUGUAACUGACGCUGAGGCUCGAAAGCAUGGGUAGCGAACAGGAUUAGAUACCCUGGUAGUCCAUGCCGUACACGAUGAAUGCUAGGUGUUGGAGGGUUUCCGCCCUUCAGUGCCGCAGCUAACGCAUUAAGCAUUCCGCCUGGGGAGUACGACCGCAAGGUUGAAACUCACAGGAAUUGACGGGGGCCCGCACAAGCGGUGGAGCAUGUGGUUUAAUUCGAAGCAACGCGAAGAACCUUACCAGGUCUUGACAUCUUUUGAUCACCUGAGAGAUCAGGUUUCCC
rnacentral:rRNA from 1 species